GACGAACGCUGGCGGCGUGCUUAACACAUGCAAGUCGAACGGAAAGGCCCUGCUUUUGUGGGGUGCUCGAGUGGCGAACGGGUGAGUAACACGUGAGUAACCUGCCCUUGACUUUGGGAUAACUUCAGGAAACUGGGGCUAAUACCGGAUAGGAGCUCCUGCUGCAGGGAGGGGGUUGGAAAGUCUCGGCGGUUGGGGAUGGACGCGCGGCUUAUCAGCUAGUUGGUGGGGUAGUGGCUUACCAAGGCUUUGAAGGGUAGCCGGCCUGAGAGGGUGACCGGCCACAUUGGGACUGAGGUACGGCCCAGACUCCUACGGGAGGCAGCAGUGGGGAAUAUUGCACAAUGGGCGGAAGCCUGAUGCAGCAACGCCGCGUGCGGGAUGACGGCCUUCGGGUUGUAAACCGCUUUCGCCUGUGACGAAGCGUGAGUGACGGUAAUGGGUAAAGAAGCACCGGCUAACUACGUG
rnacentral:rRNA from 1 species